rnacentral:piRNA from 1 species
UCCCCCGGCAGAGACUGGACCACCACAGA